CCGAGGGGACGGGGGACAGUGGCCCCGAGGGGGUGGUGGCCCCGACAGGAUGGUGGCCCUGCUCCUCUUGCUUCUACGGUCCCCCCGGUGCGCGGGAAGGAGACUUCAGUGUUGGUUGCAGCAAGGCUGGUGGCCUUCAGAAAGAGGUGAUGGGCUCGGAGGGGGAGGAUCAGUGUGUAAAAAUGGCAAAAAAAAAAAAAAGAAAUGGAAAGUCUUGGGUUGAAGGUCUCCAGGGUGGUAGGGUUGAGGGCUUUCCGAGCUUUCCGUGCCCAUGGAGGAGCUCAGCACCUUCCUGAAGCAAGGCUUGGCGGUGGCUGUGCAGGGCCCCAGAAAGGUUUUCUUAGCAUUUUUUAAAACUUCACUCACAUUUUUAAAAAAUUAUUAAUUUAAAGCUAGUUCUUGGCUGGUGCAAAGAAAGGUUUGGGGGAUUUCUGGUGCCCCGUGCGGGACCUCACUGUCCCACCGAGCCUUCUGGAUCUGCGCUAGGUUUGGGGUCUGCUGAAACCAUGCUGGUUGUUGUCAGCGGGGGCAAUCCAGCUGGUUUUCUCAACCCUGCUGCGAAAUUGCCAGUGCUCAGUAGGAGCUCUGAAGCAGCAGCUAGCUUCUAGGCUUUUAGGGAAAAAAAAACCACCACUACCAGUGCGCGCUGCACUCCAAGCCGGCGCACCGAAGGCUGAUGCUGCCACCUGCUGCCGCAUGACACCAAUUUCUCCUUGCUUUAUCCCCAAAAGCCUCCUGCUCCAGCAUCCACAUUAGAGUGGGGGCUUGGGGCACGUGUCCCAGGACACUGGGGUCGGUGAAGGCGCAGAGGCAGCAGAGCCACCCGCAGAGCUCCCCGUGCCCCCACGCACCGCCCGGCUGAGCCUGCGUUUUGCGUCAUUUCACCCCGCCAUCACACCAUCGUCACCUUUUCUUUUCUAACUUUGUUUCUC